rnacentral:rRNA from 1 species
GGAAUUGUUCGCAAUGGGCGAAAGCCUGACGACGCAACGCCGCGUGGAGGAUGAAGGGCUUCGGCUCGUAAACUCCUUUCGACCGAGAUGAAUAUCCGCAGGCCCAAUACGUCUGCGGACUGACAGUAUCGAGGGAAGAAGCCCCCGCUAACUCCGCGCCAGCAGCCGCGGUAAUACGGGGGGGGCAAGCGUUGCUCGGAAUUACUGGGCGUAAAGGGUUCGUAGGUGGCCAACUAAGUCAUGCGUGAAAUCCCUCAGCUUAACUGGGGAACUGCGUCUGAUACUGGUUGGCUCGAGUGCAGGAGAGGAACGCGGAAUUCCAGGUGUAGCGGUGAAAUGCGUAGAUAUCUGGAGGAACACCGGUGGCGAAGGCGGCGUUCUGGACUGUAACUGACACUGAGGAACGAAAGCCAGGGGAGCAAAC